rnacentral:rRNA from 1 species
GGGAAACCCUGAUGCAGCAACGCCGCGUGAGUGAUGAAGGUCUUCGGAUCGUAAAACUCUGUCUUAUGGGACGAUAAUGACGGUAUAGGAGGAAGCCACGGCUAACUACGUGCCAGCAGCCGCGGUAAUACGUAGGUGGCAAAAGCGUUGUCCGGAUUUACUGGGCGUAAAGGAUGUGUAGGCGGAUAUUUAAGUGAGAUGUGAACCCCGGGCUUAACUUGGGGGCUGCAUUUCAAACUGGAUGUCUGGAGUGCAGGAGAGGAAGGC